rnacentral:ncRNA from 1 species
CAUUGCAGAGGUCGGAAAUGGUUCCCGACGCACUCGAAAGAGUACCUGAGAUGCAGGAUACACCGCCCUGCCUGCACGU